AGUGAACGCUGGCGGCAGGCCUAACACAUGCAAGUCGAACGGGAGCACAGUGAGAGCUUGCGCAUACGGGUGGAGAGCGGGGGAAGGGGGCGGAAUACAUGGGAAAAUUCUCCUACGGGGGGGAUAACGUAGGGAAACUUCUGCUAACACAGCAUAUGACGUACGGGUGUAAGCAGGGGUUCUACGAACCUUGUGGGAGUGUAUGAGCCGACGUCGGCGUAGCUAGAUGGCGGGGUAAAGGCCAACCAAGGCCACGAUCGGUAGCUGGUCUGAGAGGAUGAUCAGCCACCCUGGAUCUGAGACACGGUCCAGACUCCUACGGUAGGCAGCAGUGGGGAAUAUUACGCGAUGGGCGCAAGCCUGAUCCAGCCAUACCGCGUGAGUGAAGAAGGCCUUCGGGUUGUAAAGCCCUUUUGUUGUGAAAGUAGUGCAGCUGUUUUAUACCCCGCUGUUCUGACGGUACCCAAAGAAUAAGCACCGGCUAACUUCGUG
rnacentral:rRNA from 1 species